GCAGAUCAACUCAGCUUACAGUCUUCAACUUUCCUGCAAACAGGUGUCUGGUAAGUCCCAGAGAUCUUUACGAUCACCUCUCUGAAGUGGGAAGACUUUAGAAAACCUGUACAAAUACCUUGUGGAUAGCUGCAAAAACAAGCAUCUGUACUGAAAGAGUUGUAAAGAGCUUAUCCACACUGAAGAGCUGCUCUCCCACUGAGUCCAGGUCAUUGGACUUACUCCUCUGUGAAACAUUGUACCACUUACAUAGCAGAAACAACCCUAGCCCAAGUGACCCUUGCAGCAAUCACACUUACUCUACGUGAGUCUCAGCAGAAGCAAUGUCUUCAGAUCAUUAAUAUAUUAGCAUUUGCAUUUGGUAAGCUUCUCUUCCUCUGCGCAGCCCUGACUCGCAAUCUCCUGCCCCGGGUUAAGGAAGCAGCAUUUUUGUUCACGGUUUUAUGAAAUACUGUAUGACUUUCUCUAAAGUGGAGACGGUAAGUCAUUCCUCCACUGAAGGAUGACAGAAGCAGACAGGUGACUUGCAAGAUGUUUUGGGAUGCAAGACUACAAUGGCACCCACCAGAGAAGGUCUUAUUGCUUGUGUCUCAAGUUAAUGCAGGAGUAAUAGCCUCCAAUUUAUGAAACACUGUAGUACGUGCUUAAUAGUAAAGCCAAAGUUUAAAAGUUAAACUCCUAGUUACGAAAUAAAUUACUAGUGCCACCGGACAAUAUCUAUCCUGAAACUAUAGUAAAUUCUAACCCUUCCAAAAUGGGAGUCCUGCUCUAUGACUGCCAAGAUCAGGUAUUCUACAAGCAGUGCUGCUUCAUUUCAUGCCCUGUUCUUACCUGAUGAUGAAGAUCGAUGCCCAUUUUCAAUGAUGGAAGAACUAAAAACUCUUCUAAACUCAGGCUUCCGGUGAUCAUCCAGGUCUACACUCUGUCAGAAUAGACAACAGACAUGACAGCUAAAUUUCAAAUAGCAGCAAAAGUAAGAAAAAUGUCCUGAAACACCUGCCAAGAACAGGUCUUCCUCGUGCAAGUGACCACAAGAUAAGAAAGGAACAAUUACCUAACCCCAGAAGCCAAGCCUGCAAAUGAAGAAUUGGCAAUGCAUAACUUAAAUCAAUCUUCACACAUGUGUCCUUAAUGGACCCCAAGCACCUAGGAGGUCUUAUCUUUUGUUAGACAAAGGUAUCACCAUCCACUGCAAUGGUGAUAAACAGAAGACUUGAUGUAACAGUGGAGAAAUUGAUUGAAAUUGCAUGGAAUAAUGCUGAGCAUUUUUUUCUAUUUGCUGCAGAAAGAAAAUACAGUAUAAAAACAUAUUGUGCAGGCAUUACAAAGUAAAUUAAAUCCUAGGACACUGCAGCUAUUUUAUAAUCUGUAACUUCUGUAAGGAUAGCUUUUUUUUCCUGGCAAAAGCAUAAAUUGUCCUCAUAAUGGCUGUCAAUAUAAUUACAGAAAAAUCAGCCAAGAUUUUUUUGUUGGUUUAGUAGGAGGUUGUGGAGGGUUUGGGGGGGGGGGGGUUUGUUUGUUUCUUUGACUGUUUUUUUUGGCUGGUUGGGCUGGGGUUUUUUGGGGGUGAAGGGGCAUGUUAAACCAUGAGGAACUAUGUGAUUUUUGGCUGCAUAACUAAAGGAAGAAGAAACUGCUUUACAGAUACAUGAUUACUGCAGUUAAGUUUCCAAGAAGAAGCAGCAGCUACAAGCAGUAGAGAGAAAUUCCCCAACACACAGUCCACAAAAACAUUCAUUGCAUAGUUAUAUUUGCCUAGUUAUAUCCAGAUGUUUUAAUAUCUGGGAAAAACCCCCUGUUCUGAAACUUUUGAAAAAGGUACUGUGCAUGAAUAAACUCUGUUAUCACUAGCUGCCAGGAUUAAGAAAAUUACAAAUUAAACAAAUACCAAUUACAGAAACCACGCAGAAUCAGGGGUUUGGAACUUUCAUUGCAGCAUUUAUUGCAAUGGAGAUCCCAGUCAACAAUUACUGCCCAAAUCCAGAACUGAAAUGUAAAGCAUAGCUAAUGCAGCUCCCUAGAAUGUACCCAUGAUACACAGUUAUAACUGUUUAGCCAUUCAUGUCAGCCAUUAUGACCCGAAUGUGAAGAACGCCUGUGUAGGCUGUAAACAUGAAUUUGCUUUUAUAAGCUGGGGAGGUGUGGGUGAGUAAAAUUGUCAAAUGACAUGAUUGUUGCAAAGGUCACGUGGCAUUCUACGCUCUGAACUGGCUUUAUAAUACAAUGUCAAGUGCUGUAUUACCUUAUUUCAUGCAAACCUGACUGCUGCAGUUUGGCUAACAGUGCCAAAGAAGAAACUGAUACCAGGCUGGAGGAUGGGGAAGAGGGCCCAUGUGCUGACAGAACAGUGGGAGGAUCUGAGAUCAGAUUCUGAUGUGCAUUAAGUAGUGUCAGGCUGAAGUACUUUCAAAAUCCACUUUGGAGAUGCCAAGCUUCUGACAAACCCAUGUGUUUAGCUAUACUACUUCUGUCAGUGCUGGUUACAUAGAUUAUAAAUAGCAGAGGGGUAACUACAUAUAUCUGUUCUUAAUAAUAAGAAGUACACAUUUGUACAACUUACGUGACAACAACACGAUGAAGAACUGAUGAAGUUGAAGAAAAGAAAGUUAACACUAGUUUUUUUGAUGCCUUAUCCAAGCUGGCUUGUAGAACUAAUCUCUGUGUAGCUCAGAGGUCUCCAUGUAAUGGAGGGUGAUAAUACUUUCCAUAGCUAUAGGGCUGCUGGAAUUCCUCCUCUGCUGCAAAGAAGUUACACUUUGGAGAUCCUUAACUGGAAGCUGCAGUUAUCACAAGCCAGUAGUAAAAAUGCAAUGCAUUCAGAAAAAAUAAGCACCAGUUCACAAGAUUAGAAAAAAAACCCCAACAAUUGUUAUUUCCUUGCUGAACCUCUAAGGUGCAUGUCUGUUAUGUCUUCAAGAUUUUGUCUGCAACAAGGUCAAAUUCAGGAAGAACGAGAGAUACAAAUUAUAUUACUGUCACUCAAA